rnacentral:rRNA from 1 species
CCUACGGGAGGCAGCAGUGGGGAAUAUUGGGCAAUGGAGGCAACUCUGACCCAGCAAUGCCGCGUGAAUGAUGAAGGUCCUCGGAUUGUAAAGUUCUGUGAUGGGGGAGGAACACAAUGAUGGUACUCUAAUAGCAAGCCACGGCUAACUAUGUGCCAGGAGCCGCGGUAAUACGUAGGUGGCAAGCGUUAUCCGGAAUGACUGGGCGUAAAGGGUGCGUAGGUGGUUUAGUAAGUUGGCGGUGUAAUUCCGGGGCUCAACCUCGGCGCUACCGCCAAAACUAUUAGACGAGAGUGCAGGAGGGGUAGGUGGAAGUCCUAGUGUAGCGGUGGAAUGCGUAGAGAUUAGGAGGAACAUCAGGGGCGAAGGCGACUUACUGGACUGUAGCUGACACUGAGGCACGAAAGCGUGGGGAGCAAACAGGAUUAGAUACCCUAGUAGUC